rnacentral:rRNA from 1 species
AGUGAACGCUGGCGGUAGGCCUAACACAUGCAAGUCGAACGGCAGCACAGUAAGAGCUUGCUCUUACGGGUGGCGAGUGGCGGACGGGUGAGGAAUACAUCGGAAUCUACUUUUUCGUGGGGGAUAACGUAGGGAAACUUACGCUAAUACCGCAUACGACCUACGGGUGAAAGCAGGGGAUCUUCGGACCUUGCGCGAUUGAAUGAGCCGAUGUCGGAUUAGCUAGUUGGCGGGGUAAAGGCCCACCAAGGCGACGAUCCGUAGCUGGUCUGAGAGGAUGAUCAGCCACACUGGAACUGAGACACGGUCCAGACUCCUACGGGAGGCAGCAGUGGGGAAUAUUGGACAAUGGGCGCAAGCCUGAUCCAGCCAUACCGCGUGGGUGAAGAAGGCCUUCGGGUUGUAAAGCCCUUUUGUUGGGAAAGAAAAGCAGCAGGUUAAUACCCCGCUGUUCUGACGGUACCGAAAGAAUAAGCACCGGCUAACUUCGUG